AUUGGUGCUUGCAUCAUGAUUUACAUUUGAGUGAGUGGCGAACUGGUGAGUAACACGUGGGAAACCUGCCCAGAAGCGGGGGAUAACACCUGGAAACAGAUGCUAAUACCGCAUAACAACUUGGACCGCAUGGUCCGAGUUUGAAAGAUGGCUUCGGCUAUCACUUUUGGAUGGUCCCGCGGCGUAUUAGCUAGAUGGUGAGGUAACGGCUCACCAUGGCAAUGAUACGUAGCCGACCUGAGAGGGUAAUCGGCCACAUUGGGACUGAGACACGGCCCAAACUCCUACGGGAGGCAGCAGUAGGGAAUCUUCCACAAUGGACGAAAGUCUGAUGGAGCAACGCCGCGUGAGUGAAGAAGGGUUUCGGCUCGUAAAACUCUGUUGUUAAAGAAGAACAUAUCUGAGAGUAACUGUUCAGGUAUUGACGGUAUUUAACCAGAAAGCCACGGCUAACUACGUGCCAGCAGCCGCGGUAAUACGUAGGUGGCAAGCGUUGUCCGGAUUUAUUGGGCGUAAAGCGAGCGCAGGCGGUUUUUUAAGUCUGAUGUGAAAGCCUUCGGCUCAACCGAAGAAGUGCAUCGGAAACUGGGAAACUUGAGUGCAGAAGAGGACAGUGGAACUCCAUGUGUAGCGGUGAAAUGCGUAGAUAUAUGGAAGAACACCAGUGGCGAAGGCGGCUGUCUGGUCUGUAACUGACGCUGAGGCUCGAAAGUAUGGGUAGCAAACAGGAUUAGAUACCCUGGUAGUCCAUACCGUAAACGAUGAAUGCUAAGUGUUGGAGGGUUUCCGCCCUUCAGUGCUGCAGCUAACGCAUUAAGCAUUCCGCCUGGGGAGUACGGCCGCAAGGCUGAAACUCAAAGGAAUUGACGGGGGCCCGCACAAGCGGUGGAGCAUGUGGUUUAAUUCGAAGCUACGCGAAGAACCUUACCAGGUCUUGACAUACUAUGCAAAUCUAAGAGAUUAGACGUUCCCUUCGGGGACAUGGAUACAGGUGGGUGCAUGGUUGUCGUCAGCUCGUGUCGUGAGAAGUUUGGGUUAAGUCCCGCAACGAGCGCAACCCUUAUUAUCAGUUGCCAGCAUUAAGUUGGGCACUCUGGUGAGACUGCCGGUGACAACCGGAGGAAAAGGGGGGGGAAGAAAGUCAAAUAAU
rnacentral:rRNA from 2 species